ACCUGCGGAAGGAUCAUUACCGAGUGAGGGCCCUCUGGGUCCAACCUCCCACCCGUGUUUAUUUUACCUUGUUGCUUCGGCGGGCCCGCCUUAACUGGCCGCCGGGGGGCUUACGCCCCCGGGCCCGCGCCCGCCGAAGACACCCUCGAACUCUGUCUGAAGAUUGUAGUCUGAGUGAAAAUAUAAAUUAUUUAAAACUUUCAACAACGGAUCUCUUGGUUCCGGCAUCGAUGAAGAACGCAGCGAAAUGCGAUACGUAAUGUGAAUUGCAAAUUCAGUGAAUCAUCGAGUCUUUGAACGCACAUUGCGCCCCCUGGUAUUCCGGGGGGCAUGCCUGUCCGAGCGUCAUUGCUGCCCUCAAGCACGGCUUGUGUGUUGGGCCCCGUCCUCCGAUCCCGGGGGACGGGCCCGAAAGGCAGCGGCGGCACCGCGUCCGGUCCUCGAGCGUAUGGGGCUUUGUCACCCGCUCUGUAGGCCCGGCCGGCGCUUGCCGAUCAACCCAAAUUUUUAUCCAGGUUGACCUCGGAUCAGGUAGGGAUACCCGCUGAACUUAAGCAUAUCAAUAAGCGGAGG
rnacentral:rRNA from 1 species